GACGAACGCUGGCGGCGUGCCUAAUACAUGCAAGUAGGACGCAGUUGCGAACGGGUGAGUAACGCGUAGGUAACUGCCUAUUAUAGGGGGAUAACUAUUGGAAACGUUAGCUAAUACCGCAUACUAGUAUAUGGACCUUGGUUGUAUUAGCUAGUAGGUAGGGUAAUGGCCAACCUAGGCGACGAUACUUAGCCGACCUGGUAGGGGGAUCGGCAACACUGGAACUGAGACACGGUCCAGACUCCUACGGGAGGCAGCAGAGGGGAAUAUUGGACAAUGGGCGAAGGCCUGAUGAAGCAAGGCCACGUGUUUGAAGAAGGCCUUCGGGUUGUAAAGUACUUUCAGCGGGGAGCGUUAACCACAGAAGAAGCACCGGCUAACUCCGUGCCAGCCGCCGCGGUAAUUC
rnacentral:rRNA from 1 species